GACGAACGCUGGCGGCGUGCUUAACACAUGCAAGUCGAGCGGUAAGGCCCUUUCGGGGGUACACGAGCGGCGAACGGGUGAGUAACACGUGGGUAAUCUACCUUCGAGUGGGGAACGAACACCGGGAAACGUGGUGCUAAUUCCGCAUAACAUCGUCGGGGUUUCGGGUUUCUGACGCUCAAAGCUGGGGAUCGCAAGACCUAGCGCUUGAAGAUGAGCCCGCGUCCGAUUAGCUAGUUGGUGGGGUAAAGGCCUACCAAGGCGUCGAUCGGUAGCUGGUCUGAGAGGAUGAUCAGCCACACUGGGACUGAGACACGGCCCAGACUCCUACGGGAGGGCAGCAGUGGGGAAUUUUGGUACAAUGGGGGCGAACCCUGAUCCAGCCAUGCCGCGUGAGUGAAGAAGGCCU
rnacentral:rRNA from 1 species